rnacentral:tRNA from 1 species
GGGGGCGUAGUUCAACAGUAGAACGGCGGUCUCCAAAACCGCAGACGAGGGAGCAUCACCUUCCGCCCCUG